rnacentral:rRNA from 1 species
CCUACGGGGCGCAGCAGUGGGGAAUAUUGGACAAUGGGCGAAAGCCUGAUCCAGCCAUGCCGCGUGUGUGAAGAAGGCCUUCGGGUUGUAAAGCACUUUCAGUGGGGAAGAAAGCCUUGGGGCUAAUACCCUCGAGGAAGGACAUCACCCACAGAAGAAGCACCGGCUAACUCCGUGCCAGCAGCCGCGGUAAUACGGAGGGUGCGAGCGUUAAUCGGAAUUACUGGGCGUAAAGCGCGCGUAGGCGGUCUGAUAAGCCGGUUGUGAAAGCCCCGGGCUCAACCUGGGAACGGCAUCCGGAACUGUCAGGCUAGAGUGCAGGAGAGGGAGGUAGAAUUCCCGGUGUAGCGGUGAAAUGCGUAGAGAUCGGGAGGAAUACCAGUGGCGAAGGCGGCCUUCUGGACUGACACUGACGCUGAGGUGCGAAAGCGUGGGUAGCAAACAGGAUUAGAUACCCGUGUAGUC